GACUCCAUGACCUGUCAUCACUCCCUC
rnacentral:piRNA from 1 species